CCAAUAGCGUAUAUUAAAGUUGUUGCAGUUAAAAAGCUCGUAGUUGAAUUUCGGGAUUGGCGCAUCGGUCGUGCCUCACGGGGUAUGAACUGGUGCAGUCAAUUUCUCACCUUCUGGAGAACCGCGAUGUCCUUAAUUGGAUGCCGCGGGGAACCAGGACCUUUACUUUGAAAAAAUUAGAGUGUUUAAAGCAGGCAUUUUUGCUUGAAUACAUUAGCAUGGAAUAAUAAAAUAGGACGGCAUGGUUCUAUUUUGUUGGUUUCUAGGACCACAGUAAUGAUUAAUAGGGAUAGUUGGGGGCAUUAGUAUUCAAUUGUCAGAGGUGAAAUUCUUGGAUUUAUUGAAGACUAACUACUGCGAAAGCAUUUGCCAAGGAUGUUUUCAUUAAUCAAGAACGAAAGUUAGGGGAUCGAAGACGAUCAGAUACCGUCGUAGUCUUAACCAUAAACUAUGCCGACUAGGAAUCAGACGAUGUUAAUUUUUUAAUGACUCGUUUGGCACCUUACG
rnacentral:rRNA from 1 species